rfam:Vavraia culicis subsp. floridensis unplaced genomic scaffold supercont1.10, whole genome shotgun sequence.
GCUGUUGUAGUGUAGUGGUUAUCACGUAUCCUUUACACGGAUAAGGUCCUCGGUUCGAACCCGAGCAAUAGCA